CUGGUAAACCAGGAUAUCCUGAAUCCUGAAGCAACCUCCAAAAACACUAAGAUGCAUAAAUAUAACAAACCCCCCCCCCCCCCCCCCCCCCUCAGGGACCAGAUAAAUGAACCGUAGCGGGGCUUGUUGUGUAAACAAAAGCUCCCAUGCACUGCUCUCAACCUGAUGUGCUUCUGCUGGAAGAAUAUGGUCUGAAAAGAAAUCUGCAGUCAGCAUUCCGCAGCUACUUUUACUCACACUUGGUGCUGCUGCGUGUUAUCUAACCCAAGGAGCGAAAAAGCUGACGAACUGAAACAUAUGAAGGUGCCUACCUGUCUGCUGUAGAGGGAGAGAUGCCGCGUCAGGUCUGAGCACGAGUUGACAUAGUUGUUCCUCUUUAUACCUGCUCCACACCUCCUUCCUGUGUCUGAUCCAUGUCCCCUGGCGAAGCAGCACACCUGAGUGGAGAGCAGGAGUGAGUCACACUGAUGAGUAAAAAUAUAAUGCACUUUAAAACCAAAUGAAAACAGAGCUGCACCGACUCAGCUGAGAUGAGGGGGAGGGGGGAUUCCUGUUCUGAUGACCGUGUGGAAAAUACAGAAGCCACACCUUUGAUACAUAGAUGAUUAGGUCUGUAUGUUACAGCUAUAUCACCCACCCAAAAGGACCUUCUCUCUCGCAGCACCCUUACUCCGCCUGUGUCCUUAGAUGUUAUUUUCCAGGGUAAAAUAUUAUUUUUCUGAUGUUCUUGUAUUGUUUUUUUUUGCUUGAACUAUUUUCUCUUUUCCCCUUGAAUUUAUUCAUAUCAGCAAUUUUUAUUUUGUAUAUUCUAAGUUCCUUAUUUAACCUCCUCAUCUUGUAUCUUUCUCAGCGGGGAUUCUAGAGUCUGUCGGGGGAAAAAAAAUCAACUGGGGGGGCUCCAACCACCAGCAUUCAUCACCAUCAUGUCUGCCAGUGUCUCUACGCUUCCCUCCUCUUCCUCUUCCUUUUUUUCUCUCCUGUAGACGGACAAUUCCUCUUCAUUGUUCUUUGUUGACUUUCAUUGACAAACUUUGGUGUUCAUAGAAAUAAUGCAUGCAACGCAGAGCAGGCCAAUGAGAGUGAGCGCUGUCAGGUGGGGCCCCAUUAGGGAGGUUUCCUUCUGUUGUUGCAAAAUUUGUUGUUGUUGCACAUUUUGGGGCACUGCUUUGGUUUAAGUUUGUCAGCCCUCAGAGGCCCCCUACUGGUCUGGGGCCCUAAAACGCAGUUGCCUGCCUUGCUUGUUGACAUGCAGUGCCUCUGAUCAUUCUCCUGUCUCCUCCAUUUUUAAAGAUGCUAAAUAAAUGUUUGUAUUGCAAAAAUACUCGCAACACCGUGGCUGCCAAAAAUACGACUUAUUUUUAUUUACAUUAUUUUUUAGAUUAUUUUAGACCGGUUUGUUGGAGUGAUUUUAAAAUGUUUCUAUUUUAACGUUUUCUUUUCUCUCUGUCAUGAUGUCGAGUGUGGAGCACUUUGAAUAACCUUGUUGCUGAAAUGUGCUUCAAAAAUAAACUUGCCUUAAUAGGCUAAAAAAAAGUUCA